rnacentral:rRNA from 1 species
CUUGCAAACUGAAGAUGGCGACCGGCGCACGGGUGAGUAACACGUAUCCAACCUGCCGAUAACUCCGGGAUAGCCUUUCGAAAGAAAGAUUAAUACCGGAUGGCAUACGAAUAUCGCAUGAUAUUUUUAUUAAAGAAUUUCGGUUAGCGAUGGGGAUGCGUUCCAUUAGUUUGUUGGCGGGGUAACGGCCCACCAAGACUACGAUGGAUAGGGGUUCUGAGAGGAAGGUCCCCCACAUUGGAACUGAGACACGGUCCAAACUCCUACGGGAGGCAGCAGUGAGGAAUAUUGGUCAAUGGGCGAGAGCCUGAACCAGCCAAGUAGCGUGAAGGAUGAAGGCUCUAUGGGUCGUAAACUUCUUUUAUAUGGGAAUAAAGUUUUCCACGUGUGGAAUUUUGUAUGUACCAUAUGAAUAAGGAUCGGCUAACUCCGUGCCAGCAGCCGCGGUAAUACGGAGGAUCCGAGCGUUAUCCGGAUUUAUUGGGUUUAAAGGGAGCGUAGGUGGAUUGUUAAGUCAGUUGUGAAAGUUUGCGGCUCAACCGUAAAAUUGCAGUUGAAACUGGCAGUCUUGAGUACAGUAGAGGUGGGCGGAAUUCGUGGUGUAGCGGUGAAAUGCUUAGAUAUCACGAAGAACUCCGAUUGCGAAGGCAGCUCAC